ensembl:lncRNA
UAAAGAGUGGAGCAAAGUUACUUGAAUGAAAAUUGUUGGUCUAAGUGGUAUUUACAUACAACAUUUCUGAUACAUCUGAAAUGGAAGUAAACAAGCCUUGUCUGAAAAAUCCACCUUCGUAAGUAAAGACUGCUUGUUCUGGAAAUUUGAAAUCUCACUCCAAAUCUGAAUGAAAGGAUAUACCAAUCUUACUGAAGAAUAUGUUGCAGGAGCAUGGUAGAUUAUAGUGUGCUAUCAAACAGCAGGAGGUAAGGAAUAAGAACAUGAGGCAGAGAGGAAGAGUGCAAUUGCAGUUAAGUUUACAGACAUUCUGCUGCAGUUUAAAGUGAUCUAUGGGAGAGAUGCAAACUCAUGCAUGUUAUCUCAGCUGGCAAACUCUGUCUCAGACCAGUCAUGCGCAAAUCAUUAUACCAUUCUACCUUGAGAUGACCUUAUUACAAUUUGUUAAAGCUGUACCAGGGAAGAAGUUGUGUUGCAUCAAGAUACUGAGAAGUUGGUAAGGAGCCACAACAACACUGUUAAACCUGCGUCUCCCCCAGUCCCUACUGUAAGGAAGGAGGACUCAAAGAGGAAUGAAAAGUACAUAAAUUGCAUUUAACAGAAGUAUCAUAAGCACAAGAUAGCCUAUGAGGUGAAGGGGUGCUAUUCCUGAUGACUGAUACUGGACAGGGAGCUGGAGCAUCAACAACUUACAGAUGGGCUAAAUAAUUUAGCAUAAAAUAUCCCUAUGAAAGUAAUAUAGAUUUGAGUUUAAAGAUGAAAACAGUAGAUGUAGUG